ACAAACGAACAAUUCAGAAUUGACGUAGAUCAUAACAAGGGCAACGCGCAUCAAAAUCAAAGAAAAGGAGACAUGUCGUGUAACUUCAUUCCUUGGCAGCUAAAUCCAAAUCGAAAGAAACCAAACUCCGAACGACAACGAUUUGUUGGUGAAGUCCCAUGUUGGGAUGUGGUCUCUGCACGUGCCACAUGGCAUUCUCCGUUCACCGGAUUAUUCCCACCUUCGCCAGACCCUUCCCAUUCCGCAGGAACACACACCUCGUCACCGCUCAACUUCCCAACUCUUUUUCCUUCAAUUUCGGAUUAGAUUCUCAGAACUUGAAUUCAAUUCAAUCCCAUGAUCCGUCACGGUUUCCUUGGAUUGGUCCAGUUCCAGGUGACAUUGCUGAAGUGGAGGCAUAUUGUAGGAUUUUUAGGAAUUCUGAAAGGCUUCAUUCUGCGUUGAUGGAUGCCUUGUGUAACCCUUUCACUGGUGAAUGUAGUGUUUCAAAUGAGGUUCUGUCCGAUGAGAAACCGUUGCUGGAAGAUAAAAUUGUUUCUGUCCUUGGAUGCAUGGUAGCCCUUGUGAACAGUGGGAGGCAGGAUGUUCUUUCUGGAAGAUCUUCAAUUGUGACUCCCUUCCGUGCUGCAGGGGUUAGUGUGAUGGAGGAUACACUGCCUCCGCUUGCCCUUUUCAGGAGCGAGAUGAAAAGGUGUUGUGAGAGCUUGCAUGUUGCUCUUGAGAACUAUUUAAUUCUGGGUGAUGAUCAAAGUUUGGAAGUUUGGAGGAAACUUCAGAGACUGAAGAAUGUCUGCUAUGAUUCUGGCUUUCCUCGAAGAGAGGAUUAUCCAUGUCCUGCUCUAUUUGCAAAUUGGAGUCCUGUUUAUUUAUCCACUUCAAAAGAGGACAUUGAGUCCAAAGAAUCUGAAGCAGCUUUUUGGACAGGUGGGCAAGUAACAGAAGAAGGCCUGAAGUGGUUACUGGAUAAAGGGUAUAAAACUAUUAUAGACCUCAGAGAAGAGAAUGUAAAAGAUAACUUCUAUCAAGCUGUUGUGUCUGAUGCUAUUUCAUCUGAAAGUAUUGAAUUGGUCAAAAUCCCUGUUGAAGUUAGGACUGCACCUACAAUGGAACAGGUUGAGAAGUUUACAUCUUAUGUUUCAGAUUGCAGCAAAAGGCCGAUCUAUCUUCACAGCAAGGAAGGAGUUUGGAGAACAUCGGCUAUGGUCUCCAGAUGGAGGCAGUACAUGACUCGCUUUGCAUCACACUAUGUUUCUAAUCAAGCAGUUAUUUCCAAUGAAUUGUCAUCAGAUUAUACUAACGAAUCUAGGAAACUGCAGGACUCAAUGAUGCCUGAGGGAUCCUCCCUUGAAAAAGAUACUAAUUUGCUGCAAGAGAGUUUGGGUGCAGCACAUGGUUCUAUUGGAUUUGACACAAGUGCCUCUCCAAAGAAGAAUACUGAGAAAACGCAAAUUAAUGGGGCCAUAAGUGAACUCACUCCUGAUGAUACAGUUUCCUCACAAGCCACUGCUGCUAAUGGGGAAGGAUCUUUUCCAAGUUUCUUCAGCAAAACUAACCCUUUAGAAGCUCAAGUUCCUCCUUUUGAUAUCUUUUCCAAGAAAGAGAUGUCCAAAUUUUUGGGAAGUAGGAAGGUCUCAAAACCCUCUUUCAGUUAUGAGGUUAAAAGACUGGAAUGUCAGCCAGAUUCAAGAAAUCUUAAGCCAAAAAUUGUGGGUCCAGCACAAAGUUCCAAUGGGUCAGCUAUUGUCAAUUAUCCAUCUGGACAGCCCCAGAUCACAGUUGGUGGCAAUUGGAAGUUAGUAAAUGUGAAUAAUUCCACUUCUGCUAGGACAAUUGUUAAUGGGUUUAGUGAAGGGGAAAGGUAUCACAAGAAUGAUAAUGCCAAUACCAACUCUGAAAGGAUUAGAGAUGAUAAGGAUAAGGCUGGGUUAGCCUUAUGUGAUGAAGACUUGGGACUUGUUGAAGGAAACAUGUGUGUGUCAUCAACAGGAGUGGUAAGGGUGCAGUCAAGAAAGAAAGCAGAGAUGUUCCUAGUACGAACAGAUGGAUUUUCUUGUGCCAGGGAGAAGGUUAGCGAAUCCUCUUUGGCCUUUACUCAUCCUAGCACCCAGCAACAGAUGCUUUUGUGGAAAUCUAUGCCAAAGACUGUGUUACUGUUGAAAAAGCCAGGGGAGCACCUUAUGGAAGAAGCUAGAGAGGUUGCUUCUUUUCUAUAUUACCAAGAGAAAAUGAAUGUUUUUGUGGAACCUGAGGUGCAUGAUAUAUUUGCUAGAAUUCCUGGGUUUGGAUUUGUUCAGACCUUCUACAGUCAUGAUACAUGUGAUCUACACGAGAAAGUUGAUUUUGUGGCAUGUUUGGGGGGAGAUGGUGUUAUACUGCAUGCUUCAAAUCUAUUCAGAGGCGCUAUUCCACCUGUUGUGUCUUUUAACCUUGGUUCCCUUGGUUUUCUGACCUCUCAUAACUUCGAAGACUACAAGCAAGACUUACGACAAGUUAUCCAUGGUAAUGAUACACGAGAUGGAGUGUACAUCACUCUCAGAAUGCGUCUCCGAUGUGAAAUUUUUCGUAAGGGUAAAUCUAUGCCAGGAAAAGUAUUUGAUAUUCUCAAUGAGGUUGUUGUUGAUCGGGGUUCUAAUCCAUACCUUUCAAAGAUUGAAUGUUAUGAACAUGGUAGACUUAUAACCAAGGCAAGUUUGAUUAUGUAUUUGUUACUGGUACACCAAAUUUCUGUCUUUUAUAUUCUGUCAUGAAAGCCAUCACUACUCUAUAUUUCACUAUCUCUAAACACCCUUUUGAUACAGUGUCAUGCCUUGUACAUGAUGAUUGUUAUGCCUUUCAGGUACAAGGUGAUGGAGUCAUUGUAGCCACCCCAACUGGAAGCACCGCCUAUUCUACAGCUGCUGGAGGUUCCAUGAUUCCAGAGGAUGCAAGAAGCAACGCCUGGGUUUCAUUUGAUGGAAAGAGAAGGCAACAACUUUCAAGAGGAGAUUUAGUACGAAUAUCUAUGAGUCAACAUCCACUUCCAACAGUUAACAAGUUUGACCAAACAGGUGAUUGGUUUCAUAGCUUGAUUCGCUGCCUAAAUUGGAAUGAAAGGCUUGAUCAAAAGGCCUUAUGAAGCAUAUGAAAGUGAAGAACAGAGAUGCGCUAUUCUCCUGUACAGAUUACAUUAAAGGCUUGUUUGUUUCCACAUUUAUAAUGGAAAAAUAAAUCUCGUGACACUUUUUACUAAAGGAACUAUUUUCCAUUCCAAGCGAAACAGAGUCACGAGCAUUUUCCAAACAGGCUCUAGGAGAUAUCUGAACUUUGCUUUAGUAUAGUAGUUACUACCAAUUUCUUACAUUGGCUUCCCAGGGGAAGAUAGGAUUUGUUAGUUUUUUUCCUUCAUUAUUGUGGCCAGAUGCUGUUGUAUACUGACAUUUAAAGCUGUAAAUUUUUUUAUCUCAGAAGCAGCUCAUUAGUGUCUUAAAGUUUACCACUUUGUACCGGACCUUCUUUUUCUCAUUAUUGAAAUAAUAGUUGAGAUAGUUGUGCUACAGCUACUAGUACUAUUUGGGAGUUACUGCUUGUUUGUAGCCUUCAUUAAUUUUCAGAUGAUGCAUCUCAUUAU